CUGGGCACAGGGCUCCAGCGACGGUCCCAACAGGUACAAUUACCUCUGGGGACCAAGUUCAGUUCUUGGUGAGUUCUCCAGUGCCUCUCAAUGUAGGAUGAACCCUUGGCAUGCUCCACUGAUGCUGGCUCCUUCUGUUGUUUCUCUUGGCUCCAGGACCCCCGGAGCAAACACAAGUUUAAGAUCCACACGUACUCCAGCCCCACGUUUUGUGACCACUGUGGGUCACUGCUGUAUGGACUCAUCCACCAGGGGAUGAAAUGUGACACCUGCAUGAUGAAUGUGCACAAGCGCUGCGUGAUGAAUGUUCCCAGCCUGUGUGGCACGGACCACACGGAGCGCCGCGGCCGCAUCUACAUCCAGGCCCACAUCGACAGGGACGUCCUCAUUGUCCUCGUAAGAGAUGCUAAAAACCUUGUACCUAUGGACCCCAAUGGCCUGUCAGAUCCCUACGUAAAACUGAAACU
rnacentral:sRNA from 1 species